AUCGCUGGCAACAACUAGAUGAGGUGCACCAGUACAGAAAUUCUGCGACUUCAACGCGUUAACAUUCACGAAGACAACGUCGCGCUACACACAUUUCACUUAAACGAUAAAAAAAAAUCGCCACAAGCAUGGUAAUGUAAGUACCGUUACAGGAAAACGUUGCAAGCAGCAAAAGGAGGAAUAAUUAAGUUUUUAAUAAAGAGCGAAAGUGCAAAAUGCGGCGGAUAUUUCCGUGUGGCUGUUGUUGUAGAGAAAACCAUGGUUCGGACGACGAUUCAGUUUCGGGUCACUACUGGUCUAUAUUUAACAUGAGAGGUGAACUCAAAUCGGCUGAGCAGGGAACACUGUCCACGGUAGUCACCACCGAGCCAGGUGCCAACACGACAGCGCGCAAUUCUGUGGAGGAUUUCGUAGACAUUGAUUUCCCGAAGGGCAGCUUUGAAGAUGAUCGCUUCGGGGACAUGUCAGCAACAAUAUUCAAGCGGAGUCAAAUUUAGUUUGUUAUUGCAGUUUUUAAUAUAAAUUAUUGAUUUAUAGUUUUACGCAGUUGUCUAGCCGAAUGUACCACGAUAGUCGAUAAGCAAAUAAUUCCUAAGAUUAUGCAAAAAGUGAAAUAUUAAAUUCAAUACUUGCACAAAAUGUGACUUCAAAA